AUUGCAACACAUGCCAAUACGGCCGGGUUAACUUAUAAAGUGACAUUUUAAAUUUCCCGGGAAAUAUCCGGCUGAAACGUCGCGGUAUGAUGACGUAUGCGCGUGACGAAGUCAGAGUAACGGAAGUUAUGGUACCCGUAGAAUCCUAUAGAAAAAGCUCUGUUUUCAUUUCAUAAUUCCACAGUAUUUUGGACAUCUUUUGCAAUUUGUUUAAUGAACAAUGAAGGCUGCAAAGAAGACAGUUGUAGGUGGGAUCGGUGUAUUAGCAGCGGACUACAGCAACACAACCAGGAGGACUUUGUUGGAGCGCUAGCCGCGCUAGCCGCCGACCUCACCUUGACUUCCUACGUCUCCGGGCCGCCAAACGCAUCGGGUGAAGUCCUUCGUCCUUCUGCCGAUCGCUGGAACGCAGGCUCCAGAUGGGGCCAUGGUGAUGUAUUGAGGCGUGAAACAAAAGAAAGCAUGGACAGAGUCUGCAGGCUGCUUGCAAGAUAUCGGAAGCUUCCGUGCAUGGCGAUAACCUGGCCCAUCAGGAGCAAGGGUGAAGUGUCUUGCUCAAAGACACAACGGACGUGGCUAGGAUGGUGGACGCUGGAAUCGAACCAGGAACCCCCAAGUUGCUGGCACGGCCACUCUACCACCCGAGCCACGACGAGUCACCUCAGGGUUUAUCCGUCGACCGCGUUCCCAGACAUGUGCUUCAGACAUUUUACACGACAAAACAGAUGAAAACUUUGAAAAGCAUGGAGGUCUACAACUUCUUUGUGUGUGGCCGGGUCAAGAACAUUGGGAUCAAGACUUUCUCGGAUAAAUCAUGCAUCGUUUUUUUUCAGUGCUACACCAGCAGAGAGGACCUAUCAAAUGGUACCAGGGAGCAUCCCAAGCCUGAAACAACGCCACCAACACUAAACAUCUGCUGCACAACAUUUUUUCAUCAAGCAUGCACAGGAUGGCUGUGACGUCAUAUUGCACAUUUCUAUAGCCUAAAAAAAACAAAACACUUCUUUCUGCUCAUUUUCAUUCAUGCUAAAUGCUGUGGCUGCAUUUGUUUUUAAACGAAUGAAAUAAAUAAUAAAAUGGAAAUGGAAAUUCAAUUCAAUUAGGCUGCAG